GCUCGAGUGGUGGAAUUGGUAGACACGCAAGACUUAAAAUCUUGUGCCCUUUGGGGCGUGCGGGUUCAAGUCCCGCCUCGAGUA
rnacentral:tRNA from 1 species